rnacentral:rRNA from 1 species
UACGUAGGGGGCAAGCGUUGUCCGGAUUUAUUGGGCGUAAAGAGCGUGUAGGCGGCCGUACAGGUCAGCUGUGAAAACUCGAGGCUCAACCUCGAGACGUCGGUUGAAACCGUACGGCUAGAGUCCGGAAGAGGAGAGUGGAAUUCCCGGUGUAGCGGUGAAAUGCGCAGAUAUCGGGAAGAACACCCGUGGCGAAGGCGGCUUUCUGGACAGUAACUGACGCUGAGGCGCGAAAGCGUGGGGAGCGAACAGG